rnacentral:rRNA from 1 species
AGGUAGGACCUAAAUACCCCAAAGACACUAGAUCUCAUGUGAUCUUGAAAGCUAAGCAGGGUCAGCCCUGGUUAGUUUUUGGGUGGGAGAUCACCAAUGAAUACUAGGUGUUGUAGCUU